rnacentral:rRNA from 1 species
UCACUUAGUUUCGGGAUGUCAAACUACAGAUCUCCUUGCUUGACUUAUUCUAGCUAAAACAUGAUGCAAAAGGUACGAGGACAUAUCUCUGCUUCUUUACGCUUUAUUAAGUUGUUUCAUUUCUCUUUCAGCUUUCCCUUGCGGUACUUUUUCUAUAGCUUCUAUUUCUUUUUCUAUCGCCUAUACUAAAGAGGAAAAAUGGUUUGUUUGGUAAAUACAGUGCAUUAGGGGGUAUUAAUAACUAAAGGUUGAAUUUACUUUCUGAGCUAGCUGUUCAGCA